rnacentral:rRNA from 1 species
AGGAUGAACGCUGGCGGCGUGCUUAACACAUGCAAGUCGAACGAUGAAGGCUGGAGCUUGCUCUGGCUGGAUUAGUGGCGAACGGGUGAGUAACACGUGAGUAACCUGCCCCAGACUCUGGGAUAAGCGCUGGAAACGGCGUCUAAUACCGGAUACGAGCUUCCACCGCAUGGUGAGGAGCUAGGAAAGAAUUUCGGUCUGGGAUGGACUCGCGGCCUAUCAGCUUGUUGGUGAGGUAAUGGCUCACCAAGGCGACGACGGGUAGCCGGCCUGAGAGGGUGACCGGCACACUGGGACUGAGACACGGCCCAGACCUCCGUACGGGAGCAGCGAGGUGGGGAAUAGUUGCACAAGUGGGCG